rnacentral:rRNA from 1 species
AGUCGAGAAGCAAACGAACGACUCUCAGCAACGGAUAUCUUGGCUCUUGCAACGAUGAAGAACGCAGCGAAAUGCGAUACCUAGUGUGAAUUGCAGAAUUCCGCGAAUCAUCGAGUCUUUGAACGCAAGUUGCGCCCGAGGCUUGUCCCAAGGGCAUGCCU